CACGUAGGGGACGAGCGUUGUCCGGAUUCAUUGGGCGUAAAGAGCGUGUAGGCGGCCAGGUAGGUCGGUUGUGAAAACUGGAGGCUCAACCUUCAGAGGUCGACCGAAACCAUCUGGCUAGAGUCCGGGAGAGGAGAGUGGAAUUCCUGGUGUAGCGGUGAAAUGCGCAGAUAUCAGGAAGAACACCCGUGGCGAAAGCGGCUCUCUGGAACGGUACUGACGCUGAGACGCGAAAGCUAGGGGAGCGAAAGGG
rnacentral:rRNA from 1 species